UUUUCUUUUUUUUUUUAAAUUACAAGCUUAUCUUUUGGCUGGUAUUUCCUUAUGUUCAUCUUUAAUCUUCAAUUUUUAUUUAGCAAUGUUUUUAAUCACAAUGAGAUCAUUGAUCAUUUAUUAUUUAAAAUAAAUUUGGACAAGAAUGUGUUUACGGGUCUAGUCUAAUGUGAUCCAGCCAGGUCAAUCAUACUAAUAGCAACCCGUUUAAACCCGGACCCAUUUUGACCCGUUACCCAACCUGCCCAUCUUGCCACUUUUGGGCAUGCGUUAGUUUUUAUCAUAUGAAAUUUUUUAUUCGGUGACAGGCUCUCGAUGAGAAGCAAAAUGAAGUCAUCGUGUCUGCUGCCAAUGAACUAAAUUGUGUUCAGAUGUUAAAAUCUUAAGAUUUGAAACUUCGAAAAACUGUAUAUAGGAAGGAUUCUGUGAUCACAGAGGAACAUUGCAAGAGGAUAAAGCGAAGAUUAAAAUAAGGAAAAUGGGCGUCUUUAAACAUGACUGGGCGCUAGGGUAUGAUCUUUCUCAAAAGGUAGUUUAUCUUUACGUUCUCGAGAUUGUAAAAUGGAUGGGUCGU
rnacentral:lncRNA from 1 species